rnacentral:sRNA from 1 species
GGACAAUCCUACUACCAGGAUUGUGUGGUGAAUGCGACUUCCUUGGGUUCCAUAACAGCACAAGCACGCAAUAAAAGUAGUGACCCAUCUGGUUUUGUGUUUGAAGGAGGUUCUGUGAUAGGUAACAGUAAUGGAGACUCAUUAUUGGGAAGAGGUUAUGGUCAUUGCUCUAGGGUUGUAUUUUAUAAAAUGAACCUUAGUGGUGUCAUUCGGCCUGUAGGAUGGGAUGCUUGGAAGUCCAAAGAUGACGUGAGUUGUCUUUUCUUCUCUGAGAUUCAAUGUACAGGACCAGGUUCUGAUACUUCUCAACGUGUUCCUUGGAAAAAGAAUUUGACAGACACAGAUUUUAACAACAAAUUUUCAAUUCCAGUGUUCAUCAAUCAAGAUGACUGGCUCUCACAAUUACCAAUAGGG